AGCCAGUCGGCGCGUUCAGCUGUUUGAUGGACAGGUGGCGUGCCCAAUCACAUGGAAGAAGAGGAACGGGUAACCGACCAAUGAAACAGAACGAGCGCCCGAGUAAGGAGGGCCAGGAGGGACUAUUUUCUAGAGUAGUCCUCCUCAAUUGUGACAAGGCUUCCGUGCGCAGCGCUUCUGGGGAACCUAACCAACAAAACACACAAGUCUCUGUUGGUUGUUAAUCAGCCUUCUGGAAAUUAUUUGAUUGACCUGACUUGACCAAGCAAGAUUUCAAGUUUUGAACACUGAUAUCAAGGCAACUUUCUUGUACUAAUCUUGCUUAACAUCUUUACUAAUGAUCAGCCACAGCCACCACUUUUUUUCUGUGUCAGGAAUGACUUGAGAAACUCCAAGUCGCUUCUGGUGCAAGGAUGUUGCCCAGGGGAUGGCCAGAUGUUUUGAUGUUUUACCAUCCUUGUGGAAAGCUUCUCUCAUGUUCCUGCAUGGGAAGCUGGAGCUGACAGAGAGAACUCAUCUGUGCUCUCCUCGGAUUUGAACCUCCAACCUGUCGGUCUUCAGUCCUGCUGGCACAAGGGUUUAACAUUGCGCCAACGGGAGCUCCAGAGCUACCACUCACAAAGAGCUUUCUAUAUGCUGAUGACCUUUGCCUAACAACUCAAAGAAAAGACUUUGAAACAAUCGAAAAUCAACUUACUAAUGCCUUGAAAGAUCUCUUCAGCUAUUACAAAGAUAACCACCUGAAGCCUAACCCUGCCAAGACACGAGUGUGCGCUUUCAACUACGUACCAAUGAAGUUAUAAUUGAAUAGUAUGUACCAAACCUAAAUAAAAAAGGAUUUAGAUUCUCA